rnacentral:rRNA from 1 species
UGAUUAUGACGUACUUGUACUGAUUGAGAUUUUAACACGAAGUGAGUGGCGAACGGGUGAGUAACACGUGGGUAACCUGCCCAGAAGUAGGGGAUAACACCUGGAAACAGAUGCUAAUACCGUAUAACAGAGAAAACCGCAUGGUUUUCUUUUAAAAGAUGGCUCUGCUAUCACUUCUGGAUGGACCCGCGGCGUAUUAGCUAGUUGGUGAGGUAAAGGCUCACCAAGGCAGUGAUACGUAGCCGACCUGAGAGGGUAAUCGGCCACAUUGGGACUGAGACACGGCCCAGACUCCUACGGGAGGCAGCAGUAGGGAAUCUUCCACAAUGGACGCAAGUCUGAUGGAGCAACGCCGCGUGAGUGAAGAAGGGUUUCGGCUCGUAAAGCUCUGUUGUUAAAGAAGAACGUGGGUAAGAGUAACUGUUUACCCAGUGACGGUAUUUAACCAGAAAGCCACGGCUAACUACGUGCCAGCAGCCGCGGUAAUACGUAGGUGGCAAGCGUUAUCCGGAUUUAUUGGGCGUAAAGCGAGCGCAGGCGGUCUUUUAAGUCUAAUGUGAAAGCCUUCGGCUCAACCGAAGAAGUGCAUUGGAAACUGGGAGACUUGAGUGCAGAAGAGGACAGUGGAACUCCAUGUGUAGCGGUGAAAUGCGUAGAUAUAUGGAAGAACACCAGUGGCGAAGGCGGCUGUCUGGUCUGCAACUGACGCUGAGGCUCGAAAGCAUGGGUAGCGAACAGGAUUAGAUACCCUGGUAGUCCAUGCCGUAAACGAUGAUUACUAAGUGUUGGAGGGUUUCCGCCCUUCAGUGCUGCAGCUAACGCAUUAAGUAAUCCGCCUGGGGAGUACGACCGCAAGGUUGAAACUCAAAAGAAUUGACGGGGGCCCGCACAAGCGGUGGAGCAUGUGGUUUAAUUCGAAGCUACGCGAAGAACCUUACCAGGUCUUGACAUCUUCUGACAGUCUAAGAGAUUAGAGGUUCCCUUCGGGGACAGAAUGACAGGUGGUGCAUGGUUGUCGUCAGCUCGUGUCGUGAGAUGUUGGGUUAAGUCCCGCAACGAGCGCAACCCUUAUUACUAGUUGCCAGCAUUAAGUUGGGCACUCUAGUGAGACUGCCGGUGACAAACCGGAGGAAGGUGGGGACGACGUCAAAUCAUCAUGCCCCUUAUGACCUGGGCUACACACGUGCUACAAUGGAUGGUACAACGAGUCGCGAGACCGCGAGGUUAAGCUAAUCUCUUAAAACCAUUCUCAGUUCGGACUGUAGGCUGCAACUCGCCUACACGAAGUCGGAAUCGCUAGUAAUCGCGGAUCAGCAUGCCGCGGUGAAUACGUUCCCGGGCCUUGUACACACCGCCCGUCACACCAUGAGAGUU